rnacentral:rRNA from 1 species
UAGUGGCGAACGGGUGAGUAACACGUGGGCAAUCUGCCCUUCACUCUGGGACAAGCCCUGGAAACGGGGUCUAAUACCGGAUAACACCUGCCCGGGCAUCUGGGUGGGUUAAAAGCUCCGGCGGUGAAGGAUGAGCCCGCGGCCUAUCAGCUUGUUGGUGAGGUAGUGGCUCACCAAGGCGACGACGGGUAGCCGGCCUGAGAGGGCGACCGGCCACACUGGGACUGAGACACGGCCCAGACUCCUACGGGAGGCAGCAGUGGGGAAUAUUGCACAAUGGGCGAAAGCCAGAUGCAGCGACGCCGCGUGAGGGAUGACGGCCUUCGGGUUGUAAACCUCUUUCAGCAGGGAAGAAGCGAAAGUGACGGUACCUGCAGAAGAAGCGCCGGCUAACUACGUGCCAGCAGCCGCGGUAAUACGUAGGGCGCAAGCGUUGUCCGGAAUUAUUGGGCGUAAAGAGCUCGUAGGCGGCUUGUCACGUCGGGUGUGAAAGCCCGGGGCUUAACCCCGGGUCUGCAUUCGAUACGGGCUAGCUAGAGUGUGGUAGGGGAGAUCGGAAUUCCU